CCCGGGCUAGGGGAAGGUGGGGCGGGCGUCCUUGAGGGAGAGGAAGGUCCGCAGCUUGAGAUCGAAGCCGGGGGGCCGGCGGUGGGGCUCGGUGUAGUCGCUCGGCAUCGCCCGGCCCAGCUGAUGUCUUGUCAGAGACGUGUAUGAUCAGAAAGCUGUCCUGAAGUUAUCUGCAAGACAUAUUGGUGCCUACACUGUAGAAGUUUGGACCCUAAAAUCCAUAGCACACAUAUUUGUCACUAGAGUUCUCAGUAUAAGUGCUUACAAGACGUGGAGGAAAAAGACGGUCAAUAAUGUCAUUUUCUUCUACAUCAAGGUAAACUGCAACAUCAGGACAGAGUCCUUGUUCUGACAAAUACUGGGCUUCAUCUGAAGUACGAGGGAAACCAUCUAGUAUAAAGCCUGUGGACCUAAUUUAAAAA